rnacentral:rRNA from 1 species
GAAAAUGAGAGUUUGAUCCUGGCUCAGGACGAACGCUGGCGGCGUGCCUAAUACAUGCAAGUCGAGCGAGCUUGCCUAGAUGAUUUUAGUGCUUGCACUAAAUGAAACUAGAUACAAGCGAGCGGCGGACGGGUGAGUAACACGUGGGUAACCUGCCCAAGAGACUGGGAUAACACCUGGAAACAGAUGCUAAUACCGGAUAACAACACUAGACGCAUGUCUAGAGUUUGAAAGAUGGUUCUGCUAUCACUCUUGGAUGGACCUGCGGUGCAUUAGCUAGUUGGUAAGGUAACGGCUUACCAAGGCAAUGAUGCAUAGCCGAGUUGAGAGACUGAUCGGCCACAUUGGGACUGAGACACGGCCCAAACUCCUACGGGAGGCAGCAGUAGGGAAUCUUCCACAAUGGACGAAAGUCUGAUGGAGCAACGCCGCGUGAGUGAAGAAGGGUUUCGGCUCGUAAAGCUCUGUUGGUAGUGAAGAAAGAUAGAGGUAGUAACUGGCCUUUAUUUGACGGUAAUUACUUAGAAAGUCACGGCUAACUACGUGCCAGCAGCCGCGGUAAUACGUAGGUGGCAAGCGUUGUCCGGAUUUAUUGGGCGUAAAGCGAGUGCAGGCGGUUCAAUAAGUCUGAUGUGAAAGCCUUCGGCUCAACCGGAGAAUUGCAUCAGAAACUGUUGAACUUGAGUGCAGAAGAGGAGAGUGGAACUCCAUGUGUAGCGGUGGAAUGCGUAGAUAUAUGGAAGAACACCAGUGGCGAAGGCGGCUCUCUGGUCUGCAACUGACGCUGAGGCUCGAAAGCAUGGGUAGCGAACAGGAUUAGAUACCCUGGUAGUCCAUGCCGUAAACGAUGAGUGCUAAGUGUUGGGAGGUUUCCGCCUCUCAGUGCUGCAGCUAACGCAUUAAGCACUCCGCCUGGGGAGUACGACCGCAAGGUUGAAACUCAAAGGAAUUGACGGGGGCCCGCACAAGCGGUGGAGCAUGUGGUUUAAUUCGAAGCAACGCGAAGAACCUUACCAGGUCUUGACAUCCAGUGCAAACCUAAGAGAUUAGGUGUUCCCUUCGGGGAC